GCCCGGUUAGCUCAAUCGGUAGAGCGUGAGACUCUUAAUCUCAAGGUUGCGGGUAUGUACAAGUUCGAUCUUGGUG